rnacentral:rRNA from 1 species
GACGAACGCUGGCGGCGUGCUUAACACAUGCAAGUCGUGCGGUAAGGCCCUUUCGGGGGUACACGAGCGGCGAACGGGUGAGUAACACGUUAGCAACCUGCCCUUCACUUUGGGAUAACUGCCGGAAACGGUGGCUAAUACCGGAUAUGACUUCCUCACGCAUGUGGGGAGGUGGAAAGCCUUCGGGUGGUGGGGGAUGGGCUCGCGGUCUAUCAGCUUGUUGGUGGGGUGAUGGCCUACCAAGGCUUCGACGGGUAGCCGGCCUGAGAGGGUGACCGGCCACACUGGGACUGAGACACGGCCCAGACUCCUACGGGAGGCAGCAGUGGGGAAUAUUGGACAAUGGGCGAAAGCCUGAUCCAGCAACGCCGCGUGGGGGAUGACGGCCUUCGGGUUGUAAACCUCUUUCGCCUGCGACGAAGCGAGAGUGACGGUAGCGGGUAAAGAAGCACCGGCCAACUACGUG